rnacentral:tRNA from 1 species
GCCUGGCUGGUUCAGUCGGUAGAGCACGUGACUCUUGAUCUCAGGGUUGUGAGUUCAAGCCCCACCUUGGGCA